rnacentral:rRNA from 1 species
AGUGAACGCUGGCGGUAGGCCUAACACAUGCCAGUCGAACGGCAGCACAGUAAGAGCUUGCUCUUACGGGUGGCGAGUGGCGGACGGGUGAGGAAUACGUCGGAAUCUACUUUUUCGUGGGGGAUAACGUAGGGAAACUUACGCUAAUACCGCAUACGACCUACGGGUGAAAGCAGGGGAUCUUCGGACCUUGCGCGAUUGAAUGAGCCGAUGUCGGAUUAGCUAGUUGGCGGGGUAAAGGCCCACCAAGGCGACGAUCCGUAGCUGGUCUGAGAGGAUGAUCAGCCACACUGGAACUGAGACACGGUCCAGACUCCUACGGGAGGCAGCAGUGGGGAAUAUUGGACAAUGGGCGCAAGCCUGAUCCAGCCAUACCGCGUGGGUGAAGAAGGCCUUCGGGUUGUAAAGCCCUUUUGUUGGGAAAGAAAAGCAGCAGGUUAAUACCCCGCUGUUCUGACGGUACCCAAAGAAUAAGCACCGGCUAACUUCGUG